AGGCAGCAGUAAGGAAUAUUGGUCAAUGGACGCAAGUCUGAACCAGCCAUGCCGCGUGAAGGAUGAAGGCCCUCUGGGUUGUAAACUUCUUUUAUCUGGGACGAAAAACGGGCUUUCUAGCUCACUUGACGGUACCAGAGGAAUAAGCACCGGCUAACUCCGUGCCAGCAGCCGCGGUAAUGCGGAGGGUGCAAGCGUUAUCCGGAUUUACUGGGUUUAAAGGGUGCGUAGGUGGGUAAGUAAGUCAGUGGUGAAAUCUCCGAGCUUAACUCGGAAACUGCCAUUGAUACUAUUUAUCUUGAAUUAUCUGGAGGUAAGCGGAAUAUGUCAUGUAGCGGUGAAAUGCUUAGAUAUGACAUAGAACACCGAUUGCGAAGGCAGCUUACUACGGAUAUAUUGACACUGAGGCACGAAAGCGUGGGGAUCAAACAGGAUUAGAUACCCUGGUAG
rnacentral:rRNA from 1 species